AAGUGGAGCUCAGCUUUUCACACAUCAACUCCCAGGCUCUCAUGUGUGAGGGCAGAGGGAUUUCUGAGGCAUGGAGAAAGCCCUAGGUGCAGAGAUGGCCUACUGGUAAUUGGAAGUCAGCCCCUGGGGCAAGACACAAGGGAAGAGGCAGGAGUUCGCAGGGGCUGCUCAAAGCUAGCCUCUCUGAGGUCUUCUGGAGUGAAUUUCUUCUCUCUGGCCACUUCAGGAGUUGUCUAUGUCAAGCAGAGAGAAUACUGGACCACAGUCUGCAAUCUGAGUCAGGGUCCUUGCUUUGGGAUGUGGAGAUCCUUCGUCAGAGGGUCGUUUGGUGUCUCCCAGAGUAGAUCUCAUGGGCUCUCCCUCUCUUUCUCUCUGGGGCAUAGCUGUGGUUAUCAGAAGAGUCUGGAUAGCAGAGAAUGUUCCUCCAGUAUGUAACUCUUCAGAGGGGGAGUCACUGACAGUGUACAUCACAGCCCCAUGGAAGCAGGGUAGGACAGAGAAUCAUGCCUCUGUAGGGAACAAUGACGGAUUUUCCCAUUAGUGAAGCUGUUUGGUCACAACUCAAAAAACAACAAUAUACAGCAAAGUAUAUUUGUAGAACUCUGAAGAUCUACCAAACACUGUUGGGGACUUUGCAUCAUUGUCACAUUUGAUCCUCACAACCGUAUAAGGUAGGCACUGUUAGCUUUGGAGGUAAGCGAUCUCUCUAAAAUUUGAGUAAUUUUGCCUGACUCGAUUUAGCUAUGAAGCAGUGGAACUGGAAUUUGAAUUCCAGAACUCAUCCUUUGACUACUAUAGAGCAGUUCUCACUUGGGUGAGCAAGUGGGUCAGUGGAGAAUACAGACUCGGAUUCUCAAGCCCCUCCAACCAAGUUGAAGUAGGUCUGAAGGGAGGGGGGCGGUGGGCAGGAUUCAGUGUUGGUAACAGAUGCCCUAUCAUCACAAUCCAGUGACCUCCGGACCUGAAAAGUGUUGCACCAUAUUACAUUUGCUGGUCAUCUGACAUCUGUGGGCCCAGGAUGGAAAAGGAAAUGGGAUGGAGAUGUGUGCCACCAGAGAGAAGGACCUUCACCCUUUGGCUUCAUGUCCAAUGUUGGAAGACUGCGUCCUAUACAGGACAGAAGACUGACUCCAGAAGAACAGUUUGCUGUACUCCGAGGAAGAGGCAUCAUUCCCAUUUUUGAGAUGGAAUAAUGGAGACUUGGAGAGGUGAAAUGAGUCUUCCAAGAUCAUACAUCUAAUUUGUCCCCCGUACUCCAUAUGUCACCAGCGAAACAGCCUUGGCCUUCGGAAUGCAUUAGUGUUUGGGCAGUGGGAAAGAAACAAGACCAGAGGAGCCUUCUGGGACAAGUAGACAGGAAAUCAGGAAUUUUAACUCCGUGUCCCUUAAUUUUGUAUGACUUUGGGAAAGUCAUUUUUCCUCCCUAAGUGGCUAUGCCAUCUUUUGGAUAAGAGUAGGACCCCUGGAGUCGGAUGAUCCAUGUCUGCUUUCACAUGGGCAUAAUAAUAGCACCUAUCAUAGAAUUGGUACAAGGAUAAAAGAAUACAAUCUUCAUAAAGCUCUGAGCACAGUUCUCAGAUAGUACUUUCAAUAUUUUAAAACUUCAUUUAGGAUCAUCACCUACCCCAGGGCCACACAGAAGGGAUUAGAAGAAACAUCAAGUUCAUCAAGCUUCUUCACCUUGGGUUUGGGUGAGACAAUUCUGAACCUGGUGUGGUGCCUUUUCUUCCAAUUUCCUGGCUAUUGGUGAGGUCAUGAACAUGUUAGGGACCUGAUUUUACUACAGAUCCUUUUAGAGUUUUGAUGAAUUUUUGAAAAUUGG